GUGCACGCGCACGCACUAGCGCACGCCGGCGCCUUCCCGUGGGCGCUCGGGGUCGGCGGCGGGCGGGGCAAAUGGAGUGGGUGCUGGCGGAUGCACUGCUGUCGCAGAGCCGGGACCCCCGGGUCCUGCUUGGGGCGCUGUGUUGCGAGGAGGCGUCCGCGGAGCGCGUGGAGACGCUGCGCUUUCUUCUGCAGCGACUGGAGGACGAGGAGGCGCGCGGCGGCGGCGGCGCGGGCGCGCUCCCGGAGGCGGCGCGCGAGGUCGCCGCCGGGUACCUGGUGCCGCUGCUGCGGGGCCUGCGGGGGCGCCCCGCGGGCGGCGCGGACACCGGCCCAGCGGCCCGCCAGCGCCGGCGCGUGAUGAGAGCGGCGGGCGCGGCCCUGCACUCGUGCGCCCGCCUCGCCGGGGGCCCGCAUUUGGCGGCCGCGCUGGCCGAGGAGGCGCUGCGCGACCUGCUCGCCGCGGGCUCCGCGCCCGGCCUCGAGGGGGCCGUCGAGGCGGCCGUGGAGGUGCUGGCGGCCGUGGGGCCCUGCCUGCGGCCCCGCGAGGACGCGCCGCUGCUGGAGCGGGUGGCGCGGGCCGCCCUCGCCCUGGCGCUAGGCGGGGACGAGGCGGGGCCCGCCGAGGGUGCGGCGGCGCUGGUGGCCGGGCGGCUGCUGCCGGCGCUGGGCCGGUGCGGCGGGGCGGCGCUGCGGGCCGUGUGGGGCGGGCUGGUCGCCCCCGGGGCGCCGGAGGGGCCGGGCCGCGUCGAGCCGAAGCUGCUGGUGCUGAGCGCCCUGGCGGAGAAGCUGCUGCCCGAGCCCGGCGCGGAGCGCGCCACGGUGGCGCGCGACGCGGGCCCGGACGCCCGGCGCUGUUGGCGCUUCUGGAGGACGGUGCAGGCGGGGCUGACCCGGGCCGAGGACGCCCUGACGCGCAAGCGGGCGCGCUACCUGUUGCAGCGCGCGGUGGAGGUAUCGGCGGAGUUGGGGGCCGACUGCGCGUGCGCCCCCCAGGAAGGAACCGGCCCAAGUCUGUUUUGGUGGUCUGAGAAGAAAAAAGAUGAGCUUCUAAAGUUUUGGGAAAACUAUAUUUUAAUUAUGGAAACUCUUGAAGGAAAUCAGAUACAUGUUAUAAAGCCAGUUUUACCAAAGCUAAACAAUCUGUUUGAAUAUGCAGUGUCAGAGGAAAAUGGAUGUUGGCUCUUUCACCCAUCCUGGCAUCUGUGCAUUUAUAAAAGAAUGUUUGAAAGUGAAAAUAAAAUCCUGACCAAAGAAGGCGUUACCCAUUUUUUGGAGCUCUAUGAAACAAGGGUCCUUCCAUUUUCAGCAGAAUUUUCUGAGUUUAUUAUUGGGCCAUUAAUGGAUGCACUUUCAGAGAGCUCUCUAUACAGCAGGUCCCCAGGCCAGCUGAUAGGAAGUGGUUCUCCAUUGGGAUUGAAAUUACAGAAGUUCUUAGUCACUUACAUUUCUCUUCUUCCAGAAGAAAUAAAGAGUAGUUUCCUGUUAAAGUUUAUUCAGAAGAUGACAAGCCGACAUUGGUGUGCUAUUCCCAUUCUGUUUCUAUGUAAGGCUUUGGCAAAUAUCCCAAGAUGUAAAGCCCUGGGUAUAGAAGGGCUUCUUGCCCUGAGGGACGUUCUUCAGUGCACCAUGAUCACACAUCAGAUCCUGCUGCGAGGGGCAGCGCAGUGCUACCUCCUUCAGGCGGCCAUGAAUCUGGUAGACGUGGAGAAAGUGUCCCUCUCUGAUGUCUCAUCUCUUGUCAUGUCAGUGAGACAAGAGGAGUCCUUCGGACGAGGAACUUCAUUGUGGACAGAGCUCUGUGAUUGGCUGCGUGUUAAUGAAAGCUGUUUUAGGCGACCCUCAACUUGUAGCUCCAUUGGACUUCACGAGACAUCCUCUUUAAAUGCUUAUGUAAAGAACCUAGUCCAAGAGUAUAUUAAGUCACCUGCCUGGGAAGGAGGAGAAAACUGCUGUAUGCCUGAUUGGCUUGAAGCCAAGCUUGUUGCUAUGAUGGUCUUGCUGGCCAUAGAUGUGGAAGGAAUGAAGAGUCAAUAUAGUGAAAAGCGGAGGACACAGAAUGUAUUAAGGAUAUUCUUAGAUCCUCUCCUGGAUGCCCUUGUGAAGUUUGGUACAAAUGCCUACAUGCCCUUGCUGAAAACUGACAGAUGCCUGCAGUUGCUGUUGAAGUUACUGCACACUUGCUUGUUGAAAGGUUCCAGUACCCAAGAUGUUGCGCCUACAGAUGAGGUGUGUACUCUUCUUCAGAACUUUGUCUUGUCUACCACAGAGAGCAUUUCGGAAUUUAUUCUCAGAAGACUUACUAUGAAGGAACUAAGUAGUGUUUCAGAUCUGGAUCGUUGCCAUUUGUACCUGAUGGUAUUAACUGAACUUAUAAAUCUCCACUUGAAGGUUGGGUGGAAAAGAGGCAACCCUAUUUGGAGAGUUAUUUCUCCUUUGAAAAACGCAUCCAUUCGGCAUCUUCAAGAGAUGGACCGUGGACAGGAACCGACGCUGGGUAGACAGAUUCAGAGAGUUGUUAGCAUGGCUGCCUUGGCCACGGUGUGUGAGGCCACUGACCAGAAGCCAGAGCUACAGCUGGACUCGCGGGACGCGGGAACCACGGAAAGGUUCCUCUCCUCCCUGCAGCUCAAUCAGACGCUGCAGAAGCCCCACACGGAGGAGGACGGCAGUUUUUUUGAAGAGUCAUCAUCUUCCCAAGGAUGGGGGAAAAUAGUUGCACAAUAUAUUCAUGAUCAGUGGGUCUGCCUCUCUUUCUUGUUGAAAAAAUAUCACACCCUUAUACCAGCCUCAGAGGAUGAAAUUCUGGAACCCAUUCUACCUGCUGUUCAAAUGCCAGUAAGGACUUUGCAGUCCGCACUAGAAGCCCUCACAAUUCUUCCUUCUGAUCAAGUUUUACCUGUGUUCCACUGCAUGAAAAUUUUGGUCCCCAAGCUUCUGACCUCCUCUGAAUCUCUCUGCAUAGUGUCUUUUGACAUGGCUUGGAAAAUCAUAGCUUCUUUAAGCAACACUCAGCUGAUAUUCUGGUCUAAUUUAAAAGCUUUUGUUCAGUUUGUUUUUGAUCCCAAAGUUCUUACCAUUGCUGCAAAAAUCAAGGGCCAGGCAUAUUUCAAAAUCAAAGAGAUUAUGUACAGGAUAAUUGAAAUGUCUACUAUAAAAACUGGAGUCUUCAAUAUAUUGAUAAGUCAUUGCUGCAAAUCUUGGAUAGUUUCUGCUUCAAAUGUGCCUUUAUCUACUGCUAAAAAUUACAGCGAACUUGUCUAUGAGGCGUGUAUAUUUGGAACAGUGUUUCGGCGUGAUCAAAGACUUAUUCAGGAUGUACAGACCUUCAUAGAAAAUCUUGGGCAUGAGUGUGCAGCGAACAUGGUUAUUGAAAAUACUAAAAGAGAGGACCAUUAUGUGAGAAUUUGUGCUGUCAAAUUCCUGUGUUUAUUAGAUGGCUCAAAUAUGUCUCAUAAGUUGUUUAUGGAAGAUCUUGCAAUCAAGCUAUUAGAAAAAGAUGAAUUGGUGUCCAAGUCAAGAACUCGAUACUAUGUGAAUUCACAACAACAUAGAGUGAAAAACCGAAUAUGGCAGACUCUGCUUGUACUUCUCCCCAGAUUCGAUCAGAAUUUCUUGAAUAGAAUUAUUGACAGGAUUUUCCAGGCUGGUUUCAUCAGUAAUCAAGCAUCCAUAAAAUAUUUUAUAGAAUGGAUUAUUAUAUUGAUUCUUCAUAAAUUCCCUCAAUUUCUUCCGAAGUUCUGGGACUGUUUUUCUUACGGUGAAGAAAACCUUAAAACAAGCAUUUGUACAUUUUUAUCAGCUUUGUCGCAUUUGGACAUCAUUACUGAAAAUAUUCCAGAAAAGAAACUAAUUCUGAAGCAAGCCCUUAUUAUCGUACUGCACUGGUGUUUUAAUCACAAUUUUAGCAUUCGACUGUAUGCCUUAGUCACUCUUAAGAAAAUCUGGAGCAUGUGUAAGACGUUGCACCUUGAAGAACUUGAUGCUUUGACUUGCAUUAUUGAAUCCUGUCUGAAUCAAGUGGAAAACACGCGUGGAGCAGGGAACGCGAAGAAGAAUUGGCAACGGAUCCAGGAGCAUUUCUUUUUUGCAACGUUCCACCCACUGAAGGAUUACUGUCUGGAGGCAGUGUCUGGCUUGUAAACACUGGAAGGGGGAAUAUUUAACUCUGAACAGAAAUCUGUUCUGACAUUAAAAGGAAAUGAGUGAGAACAUUUGUGCAGGUGAGAUUUGUCGUAACGAAGCCCAUUGGUAUGAAAGAGUGAAAAGAACUACUCUUUUAAGUGCCUAUUUUAGGUUCUGGAUGACUGGAAUUGUAUAGCAAAUGAUCACCAUCUCACUGAUCAUAACAGAAUGUGCUUAUAUAAUUUCUUUAAACUUAUUCCAGUUAGCAUGUGAAUUAAUUAACUUAAUAUAUAGAUUAUUAAAAUUUGUACAUAUGAUAUUACUUUCUCCCUUUUUCGACUACAAUUAUAGUGUUCUGCCUUGGAAUUUAAAACAUGUGAUGUAGGAACCUGGAAGUAUCAGAAACUUCAGCUACCGUGCAUAAGCAGUUUUUUUUUGUUGGGUUGUGUUUGUGUGUGGGGAUUACUAAUAAGCUGGCCUUUAAAAAAAAAUACAGAUCUAUAUAUUGUGAGAUAGUCAUCAUAGAACAUUAUUGUGUACUUUGUUGCUUCAUUGCAAAAAUUAUUUAGGAUUUUUCAAACAUUUUAACGUGCUCUGUUCUGUGUCCUUUAGCGCCCAGAAUGCUUUGUUUGACAUCUUUCUGAGGACUCUUAAUAACUCUCUAGUGCUAAGUCAGCCUUUUCUAUUCAGUUCUCCAGCAGGAGUAAGUCCCUUGCUUCCCCUUUUCCUUCAUCCUGACUUUGACUGCCUCACCCUCAUAUGUUUUAUAUAUUUUAUUCUCUAUUAAUUAUACAAACCAUAACUGUACAUAUCAAUAAAAUAAUGGUGCACAAGACUCUGUUUCUCUAUACGUUUGGAGCUAUACUUGGUACCUACUUAAUAAACAGCUUGCAUUCAUUAUGCCAGUUUCAAUUUGCACAAAUAUUGCUAAUAAAGAGAAAACCAUAUUCAUUCUAAAAACUUUUAUGAAGACUUGGACAUUGUUAUAAGUUUAUUCCUUUAUUUUAAAAUUGCCUACUGUGCUUCUGCUUCCUAUGUGCCUUUUCACAUUUGAGGAUUAUCUGGAUCUCAGUUUUCUUGUCAUAGACCAUAUUUUACAUCCUUCCACGCCUUUCCGGCCUUGUUGAGGACGAAUGGAUUGCCAUUGGUAAAUUUACCAGGUUCACUGACAUUCCUUUAGAUGCAGGAUUUCAGUGGUACCUUUCUCCAACU